GAGCUGGGUUCAGAACGUCGUGAGACAGUUCGGUCCCUAUCCAUCGUGGGCGCAGGAUAUAUGAGAGGAGCUGUUCCUAGUACGAGAGGACCGGGAUGGACGUACCUCUGGUGCAUCAGUUGUCAUGCCAAUGGCACAGCUGGGUAGCGAAGUACGGAUCGGAUAAACGCUGAAGGCAUCUAAGCGUGAAACCGACCUCAAGAAGAGAUAUCCCACUGCGUAAGCAGGUAAGCCCCCUUGCAGACUACAAGGUAGAUAGGUCGGAGGUGGAAGAGCGGUAACGCUUGGAGCUGACCGAUACUAAUAGGGCGAGGGCUUGAUCAAA
rnacentral:rRNA from 1 species